AGAGUUUGAUCCUGGCUCAGGACGAACGCUGGCGGCGUGCUUAACACAUGCAAGUCGAACGAGAAUCACUGGAAGGAGUUUUCGGACAACGGAAGGUGAGGACAGUGGCGGACGGGUGAGUAACGCGUGAGGAACCUGCCUUUCAGAGGGGGACAACAGUUGGAAACGACUGCUAAUACCGCAUGACACAUAGAGAUCGCAUGGUUUUUAUGUCAAAGAUUUAUCGCUGAAAGAUGGCCUCGCGUCUGAUUAGCUAGUUGGUGAGGUAACGGCCCACCAAGGCGACGAUCAGUAGCCGGACUGAGAGGUUGACCGGCCACAUUGGGACUGAGAUACGGCCCAGACUCCUACGGGAGGCAGCAGUGGGGAAUAUUGGGCAAUGGGCGCAAGCCUGACCCAGCAACGCCGCGUGAAGGAAGAAGGCUUUCGGGUUGUAAACUUCUUUUGUCGGGGACGAGUAGAAGACGGUACCUGGCGAAUAAGCCACGGCUAACUACGUGCCAGCAGCCGCGGUAAUACGUAGGUGGCAAGCGUUGUCCGGAUUUACUGGGUGUAAAGGGCGUGUAGCCGGGAAGGCAAGUCAGAUGUGAAAUCCACGGGCUUAACUCGUGAACUGCAUUUGAAACUGUUUUUCUUGAGUAUCGGAGAGGCAAUCGGAAUUCCUAGUGUAGCGGUGAAAUGCGUAGAUAUUAGGAGGAACACCAGUGGCGAAGGCGGAUUGCUGGACGACAACUGACGGUGAGGCGCGAAAGCGUGGGGAGCAAACAGGAUUAGAUACCCUGGUAGUCCACGCUGUAAACGAUGAAUACUAGGUGUGCGGGGACUGACCCCCUGCGUGCCGCAGUUAACACAAUAAGUAUUCCACCUGGGGAGUACGAUCGCAAGGUUGAAACUCAAAGGAAUUGACGGGGGCCCGCACAAGCGGUGGAUUAUGUGGUUUAAUUCGAAGCAACGCGAAGAACCUUACCAGGGCUUGACAUCCUACUAACGAAGUAGAGAUACAUCAGGUGCCCUUCGGGGAAAGUAGAGACAGGUGGUGCAUGGUUGUCGUCAGCUCGUGUCGUGAGAUGUUGGGUUAAG
rnacentral:rRNA from 1 species